ensembl:lncRNA
GUGAGGAAUGAGGAGCUGGAGAAGGUGUAGGGCACAGAUGUGGGUGAAAGUGAAGUGGGCUGCACUGGGGAUACUGGGGAACACGGAUCAGAACAUGGGAGGAUUUGGGGAGGAUAAGGGGAUGUGGACCACAGCCAACAGGAGCAGAGUGCUUCACAGGAGAAGGCGAGGUGUGAGGUACAGGUGGGACUUGUGGGUGCAGAGACAUGACGUGGCAUGGGUACGUGGGGGGUUUGGGGGCUCGUGGGGAGAGGUUUGGGGUCAGAAUGGGGGAUGUGGAGUGGUGUUGGAGUGCAUUCAUUGAUUUCUUCCUGAGAGGGGAUUGGGGUUCUUUUCGGUCUAAUGUUGAAGCCCUGAUCAGUAACCCCACAUGAGCCAAGAACCCCAGAAAAGUCCGCGUGACCACAAGGCUCCACAUGUCCCAUAACCCUGUGAGCACCGUAACCCCAUAUGAGGCUGUGGGCAGGGAUAGGUCUGUUCCUGCAUUGUUCAGGGGGUACUAUAAGGUGGCUCUGGGGCCGCUGUAGGUCAGCAGCCUGAAUAUUCCCCUGACGCUCAUCUUGCCCUCAUCUUGGGGGGCAAGAUGGAGGUCAAGGUGUUUGUUGGGGGCUAUGGAAGAGGUUCCAUGAGUGUAUCCCAUAGUGGCCCAGAGCAGCCCCAUCACUGCCCACAGCCCGUGGCCAGCAGCAGUUCCACCAGCAGCAGUGUGUUGGAUAAAGGCAGCUCCCUUUGGUUGGGUAAAGGUGUGGCUCUGCUCCAAAGCUGCCCCAAAGUGCUCCUGAAGCCCUCCCAUAGGCGUCCUUUAACUGCCCCACAACCCCGUGAGGCUUCCCUACAUCCCAGCACAUCCACCCAAGUGCCAGUGGGGUGUGCAAGAAACGCUCUCGUCCCUUAUGUUCCACCUGGAACAGCUCUCAGUGCAGCAGCAAAGCUCAUUCCUGAUUGCUGUGGCGUUACUGCACUCUGCUCUGUGAGCUCCUUCUGCUCCUGUAGCUCUCCUCCCAUGGCACCCACUGCUCUCCUGUUCCCCCUUGGCUGGGCACUGCAGGCUCACAGUCUCCACCACGCAUCCGCUGUGCAGUUUUUCCAGAGGAGGUCUAUGGCCAACGUGUUCCUUUCGGGCUGAUUUUGUGCUUUUCUAUGCAGACAGGCAGGCAGGAUUUCGUGCAGCUGUUGCACGUGCUGGGUCUCAUGCUCCGUCCUGCGGCUGUGCCUUAUCUCGUGUGCACUCUCCACCUCCCCCUGGUCAGAACGUCCUGGCCCUGCUGUGCUCUGCUCAGCAUCUGUCUGCUGAACGACGACACAGCUGUCACACUGAGCCUGCCUUGUGCUAUCCCUGCAGAUGUUCGAUGAUUGCCACUCUCCCACCCGUAACCGCUCGGGUGCUUUCCAGCAGCACACAGCUGGCACACAGAGCCAUGCUGACCACGGCAGGGUGCAGCUCCCUGUUGCAGUCCCGUAGCUGUGGGUGGCCGUGCCAAAGGGGGAUCCCACCGCUGCUGCUCUCCAUCCGUCUGCGCUCGUUCUGCACCACCGUGC